UACAGAGGUCCCGAGCGUUGUUCGGAUUCAUUGGGCGUAAAGGGUGCGUAGGUGGCGCCGUAAGUGGGGUGUGAAAUCCCGGGGCUUAACCCCGGGACUGCAUUCCAUACUGCGGUGCUUGAGGACUGGAGAGGAGACUGGAAUUCACGGUGUAGCAGUGAAAUGCGUAGAUAUCGAGAGGAACACCAGUGGCGAAGGCGAGUCUCUGGACGAUUCCUGACGCUGAGGCACGAAAGCCAGGGGAGCAAACGGG
rnacentral:rRNA from 1 species